GGGUAUACUUCCCCUUUAACCGCUCUGUGUUUUUCUCCUUAGGUUUGGCAGCUGUGCAUUUAAAGGAUUUAGGAGGAAUAAUUGCUGGAGGUGAGACUGAAGGCCGAAUCCAACAUCAAGUCCUGAACUCACGCACACAAUACGUUUGCCUAAAGGAACUUGUCUUUUCCACCCCAGUCAGUUCCUGGAAGGGGUCCGGGCAGGUGGUGUGUACACAAGGCUGGAGUCGCAGGCGAGUGUCAGAGCAGGAACAGAACAACUAACACAAUGUUGCCAGAGAAGACAAGGCGGCUGCCCGGGAUGUAAAGGCUUAAGGCUCAAACACAUGGAGGAAGCUGCGAGGUAUCAGAUAGAGCCAGACCAGGAAGGAACGGUAAUGUUAAUAGAUAAGAUUUUGCGGCCUGUUGCACGUCUCAACAAAAUACGCUGUAAAUAUCUGCAAUUUCCCCGUGUUUAUAAAACAAACGGCUGGUUACUGGAGAUAAGUGGAAUUUUCUGACCUUUACCACCCGUUUCCCCUAGCAACCGAUCAUCCGCUGCUCCAAUUACAAGCCUGGGAUCCCACGCUAAGCUCCCGAGCACAUCCCCACUACGAGUUUGCUGUGGUUUUCAUUUUAAUCCCUUGGCAUGAAGGCCGAGUGUGGGAGAAGGUCUAAUUAAUGGCAGGAACUUGAGGAAUCCUGCGCAGACUGAAUAUUAGGAUGCAAUAUUUGGCAAGCGUAUGAAUCCAGCUGUCUCUGCUACAAAGCCCGUUGCUGGGUCUCAGUGGGAAAAAUCUUGUCAGGCAUUAGGCUAUUUCCAUUCCUCCUGAAUAUGCACAUUCUUGGCUAUAAUGCCCCUUCUCCCAUGUUCGUAUACGAAUUUAGAUGUAUGCCAAGGCCACUACAAGCCUUUAGCAUGGAAGAUCUGUGCCUCUAAAGAUGUCCCCAAUAGCUCUCCAACUUCUACUGAUUCACAGCACAUUUAUAGUCCUGGAUAAUCAGCCUUGAUGAGAGUUUGAACCUUACUUUUUGCUAAUAUCCCAUGCCCCUAAGCUUAGCUUCUUCACAGCAGCCCAGAGCACAUUGAGCACGUGCAGUGCCACUGACACUCAAAAGAUGGCCCAACAAGAUCCAAAAUGGGGAGCUGCUGCAGACAACUUUAGAGGCCGGGAUCAUUAGUGUUAUAGGGUUGCUGAACCUAUGGGUUGGUACCGGUAGCAUAACACUUAAACAAAAUAGCAAAGAAGGGAAAGUUGUGCCACUACAUUUUAAACUAUUAGGCGGGGGUGCAAUGAGGUUGUGAUCACAAAAUACAUAUAGGCAACAACAACAUUAUCAAUAUAUAUAUGGCAUUAAGGCAUUCUAUGCAUUAUGCUGCCAAGAAAUGGCUAGAAGGGAUGACUUUGACGUAGUUGGGCAGCUUGAAGUAUAUUGCAAUAUAUGGACAGACAAUCCCUGUUUUUCUUA